GGGGACGUGGCUCAAUUGGUAGAGCAUCGCCUUUGCAAGGCGGGGGUUGGGGGUUCGAGUCCCCCCGUCUCCACCC
rnacentral:tRNA from 1 species